GACGAACGCUGGCGGCGCGCUUAAUACAUGCAAGUCGAGCGAGAACCAGGGCUUCGGCCCUGGGGACAGCGGCGAACGGGUGAGUAACACGUGGGUAAUCAACCCCCGGCACCGGGAUAGCCCAGGGAAACUUGGAUUAAUACCGGAUGCCCCGUCUGGCCUUCGGGCCGGCCGGAAAAGGGUAGCUUCGGCCUCUGGUCGGGGACGAGCCCGCGGCGGAUUAGCUUGUUGGUGAGGUAAAGGCUCACCAAGGCGACGAUCCGUAGCUGGUCUGAGAGGACGAUCAGCCACACUGGGACUAGGACACGGCCCAGACUCCUACGGGAGGCAGCAGUAGGGAAUCUUGCGCAAUGGGCGAAAGCCUGACGCAGCGACGCCGCGUGAGGGAAGAAGGCCUUCGGGUUGUAAACCUCUUUCAGGAGGGACGAAGCCACUCGGGUUAAUAGCCUAGAGGGUGACGGUACCUCCAGAAGAAGCCCCGGCUAACUACGUGCCAGCCGCCGCAGUAACAC
rnacentral:rRNA from 1 species